UCUUGCUCUUGCUCCUUUGCCUGCUUGCUGCGUGAGACUGAGUAACUGCUAGAUCCUUGGACUUCCAUUCACAGCUGCGACUGAACAAUUGUUGGGAAUUCGGCUGCCGACUGGCUCAUCCCUUCUGAAUAGAAAAUGAUUCAUACUCACCCAGUGUGAAAGGUACAGAAAGGGCUUUGCCCAGAGGCUCAAGAGUCCGGGACACACUGGUUUAUACAAUCACACAGCGCUGGAGAUGAAGAGUACCAUAGUCGUUAUGUAAUCUUACUGGAAGUGAAGGAAGAAGCUAGGCCUCCAACGGGACAAUAUCUUUACACUAAGAGUCUGAAUGACUAUAAGCCGGCCAUGCCUGAUUAAUGCUAGGACAUACAUCAUAAAUCAAAAAGGUAUUUGCAGGUGCCCAUGGAAGCUAAACAGGAACAUCGGAUCCCUUGGAGCUAGAGUUAGAGGAAUUUGGAGCUGUUGUCCCAUUUAGGGACGGGGAUCUGAACUUGGGUCCUCUGGUACAGCAGCAUGAACCCUGACUGAUACAGAAGAGGAAAGACUUGAGGCCCAGCAUCAGAAUCUCCUCAUCCAGACUCCCACCCCAUCCUGAAUUCCUGCUUCCCUAGUCUCAAGGUUGCAACCUCAGAGUUGUCCCUUAGAGCUCAGAGCAGCUAUUGUUC
rnacentral:lncRNA from 1 species